rnacentral:misc_RNA from 1 species
CAUUUUCGAUUUUUACUCGCCAAAUUAAACUUUGGCAUUUUGCAGACAUUAAGAAAAAAAUUUAAAAAAAUGUGAAUGGGGCUUGUCGAUUUUGUGGGGGUGCGAUUUUCCUGCACAGAGGACAUUUUGGCGGGCAAGAGAAAAAAAAGUGGUGCGGGAAAAAAACAAAAAUUGGGGCGGCGCGCCCUAAAAAACAGGAGUCCUGAAAAAAAGUAUGUGACGAACAUGAAAAAAUCUUUUUUCUGGCGCGCGCAGGAGUCUGCACAUACAAAAAAAAACCGAAUUCGCGGAAAAAAGAUUUUUUCUGGGUGUGCAGUUCUGCGCGGGGUCAAAACGCGCUCGGAGGAUAUAUAUGUGGGUGAGAGCCUACAACACAGUUGCGAAAAGGCAAAGCGCCUGGAAGCUGCAGUGGCAAAUAUUCCUCGAUGUUGAGGACGGUGCGGACGCCGAGCGCCGUGUGGAACCCUAGUUGAAGCCGGAAGGUGAAGAGAACGCUGUGUUUUGUGGCAGUACUGUAAUCGCAAAUCUCUGAAGCGGAGAAACCUUGGUCGUUGCUGGAAGGUGACGGCGCGUGUGUGCGGCAGUUGCCGGCGGGGGGUCGAAUCCCCCUCGCUGGUGGCGGCGGCAAGUAUGAAGGAGGGCACACACGCGUCGAAACUAACCAGUGACUUCCCGGGUGGACUCGUGGAGGGGAGGCGGGAUAUGCCGGGAGGCCCUCGUCGAAACAUGAUGCACUUGGAUCCGGAUGGGACUUGGAAGAAGCAUGGCAACCAGCGGAGGCACGGUCCAACAAGGAGAUUCGGCCGGUACGGACGGGAAUAUUCUACGCUGCUGUGGACAUGAGAGUUGCUCUUGGAACUACUGUGCAAAGCCAUUGUGGGCAUAGGCGACGGACGUCAGUCCCCGCCCUGGCCACUCGGUAUACGUCAGUCUUGGUCCGACAGUGUCGGGGCAAGCAGUGCUGGGUUUGGUGGAUUACUAGGCGAUGCCUGUACUACUAGACUCUGGGGUAGACCACGCGCAAGCAAUUGCGCGUUGGGAAACUCCUCUGACGCUUGCCAACAAUGAUUCAUCAUUGAAAAGCAGGCGGAAGAAACAAAGUGGGCUACGCAUCAUCAAUCAUCAACUCUACAAGCCACAGCGUUCCGCGCCGGGGUGUAAUAGUUAUCUGGUUGAUCCUGCCAG